CCUACGGGGGGCAGCAGUGGGGGAUAUUGCACAAUGGGGGGAACCCUGAUGCAGCGACGCCGCGUGGGGGAAGACGGUCCUCUGGAUUGUAAACCACUGUCCCCAGGGACGAAAAUGACGGUACCUGGGGAGGAAGCUCCGGCUAACAACGUGCAAGCAGCCGCGGUAAUACGUAGGGAGCGAGCGUUGUCCGGAAUUACUGGGUGUAAAGGGAGCGUAGGCGGGGAUGCAAGUUGGGUGUAAAAACUACCGGCUCAACUGGUAGUCGCACUCAAAACUGCAGCUCUUGAGUGAAGUAGAGGCAGGCGGAAUUCCUAGUGUAGCGGUGAAAUGCGUAGAUAUUAGGAGGAACACCAGUGGCGAAGGCGGCCUGCUGGGCUUUUACUGACGCUGAGGCUCGAAAGUGUGGGGAGCAAACAGGAUUAGAUACCCGUGUAGUC
rnacentral:rRNA from 1 species